CUUUUUGGUAUAAUUUCCAUUUUACUUUUCCCAGGUGGUUUUUCUUCUGUCUACUUGCCAACUCUCUACAUGAGCUUUGGUGGGCAGCACUAGUAAUUUUGAAGGUGUUCAAUCCUCCCAGAUUGCAAUACAUUUACUGAUUCCUGACCACCUUGCUAUGGACAGCACAGCUCAUUCAGCAAUACAGCUCUACAUAGAUCUUGGGAAGCAUGCAAGCAUUGAAGAUACUUGUUCUGGAAAUGUUAUUGACAACAGGGGUCUCUACAAUGUUCUGAAAGACAACCUUCCUAGUGGCUUGUUCUUGAUCACAGACUAGGUGCAAUCUCUGCAAAGAAUUGACAGCCCUGCACAUGGCCUUGGCCCUUUUUGGUGUGACCAUUAUUUCAUUAUUUUUGUUAUCACUGAGCCAAAACGUAAAAAAAAAUAGAGUCUCUCACUGGCCUGGCCCACCAAUUUGACACUAUGACCUGGUUAGCAAUCUCCAAGGAUGCACUUGUCUCUAUUUCCUCAGGGCUGGGGUUACAAAUGUGCACCAUUGUCCCUGGCUGUUCCACAGAAUAUGAGAUCUAGGGGGAUGAACUCAGGUCCUUACAUUGUAUGGCAAGCAUUUUGCUGAGUCAUCUGCCCAGACUUCAAGGAAGUGUGAAGAGGUGGGUCUCAACCAGAUCUUCAGAGAGAAUCUUGAAACUUAUGGUUCAGGUGACUAGAAUGGGAAGAGUUCUGAAGCUGGGGUCAGGAGGCAGUUGCACAGCAGGGAGGCACUACUAGAGAAAAGGCUCAUGGAAGUAGCUGGUUUGGAGGUGUGCUGUUCCAGAUCAGUCCAGACUUUGGAGCUUCCUAAGAGCUGGAUAGAAAAGAGUGACUAUGGUUCUCUAAAGACAGUGCUGGCAUAGUGAAAAUGUAUUUAAAUGAGUUGACUCAGUAGCAAUGGGCUCAUCUGAUCAGUUCAAGAGUUCCUGAGGCUGGGGAUGCUAGAUCAAAUGCUGAAGCACAUUACUGCGGAUCUGGAAUUUAAAAAGCUAUUUAGAACAUCAACUCUGAUAUUUUCUUUUUAAUUUAACCUUCAUUUUGAACCAUAAAUCCAGCACUAAUAAUGAGAAUUGAAUACCUUUGCUCUCUCAGGGCGUCCUAUGGAAUCACUGCAAAUGGAAUUUAAUUUCUGCCUAACUUGCCAUCUAAUGCCUUUUGAGAAUCCCAAGGCAUAUUCCGCUCCUCUGCACUUGAUCUGACACAGUGACAACAGUGUUUUAAAAGCUGCUUUAGUUGCUCAGGGAAGAGUGUAAUUGACCUGGCACUUCAGUGUUAUUGAGUUUGAAACAUCAGAGAAGACGAAGGUCACCACACUGUCCAUGCUUCAUCCUUCAUGGCAUUCUUGUGGAAGAGAAAAUCGGUGUGAUUCAAAUGUAGAACUGGAUACAGGGAUAUAUUUGAAAUCAGCUCUGGGCAUCUCCAGAGCUCAUGCUCACAUCUCAAGUUAUUUUAGGUGUCAUUAGGAUAUGAAAUAGGCUGGAGAUGACUCCAUUGGGAAAUUUGUUUGUUGCACAAGAAUGAGGACCUGAGUCCCUAAAAGCCCACAUAAAAGAAAUUCACAAAUGGCUGGUGUUCUUGGUAAUCGGCACACAUGGGAUUCAUUUUGUGAAGGCAUUGAAACUCUGCAUAAAGUAGGUGGGAAUCAAACUGUUGGUGUAAAACCUACAGCACAAGGUAUGCUCAGCAUCUGGGUUCUGAAUUGCACAAAGCCUGCCCUGUAGAAAGGUUUCACAGACAUUAGAUUCUCCUAAAGAAAAAUAUUGCUUAUGCCACUAAUUUGCCAAGUAAUCACUGGGGACCUUGAUCUUUUCUUUGUUCUGCUUUCCCUUGUUGUACUGAGGCAGUACACAGUCAAGGUUAAUAUAAGUUGACUUGGUAUCCUAAUUCUGCUUUUGCUUGUUCAGUUUCCUUUUGUUAUAUUGAGGUACUAUUUUAAGGUAAUGUAGGCUGCCCUAAUUCUGACUCCUAUGAGCUAUAUAAUUUAUUAUCUCUGUACCUCCUUUUCCAUGUUUAUAAAAUAGAUUUAAUCAUAGUGCCUGCAUUCUAUCAGCUACCUGUAUGCAUAUACAGUUUAUACAAUAGCUGGCACCAAGUGACUGAUACAUAUUUAGCUUUAUUUUCAUUAGUACUUUCUAUAGAAAAAAGAUCCUAGUUUCUCAUCAAUUUAAAUUUUGAAUUCCUUAAACAAAGGA